rnacentral:misc_RNA from 1 species
ACCGCGUCGCCCCCCACCCCAAACCAAGGGGAUCGGGGGCGGAUUAUGGCCCCCCGUGCGCUCCUAGCUCGCGGUCGGCCUAAACACAGACCCCGUGGCCGUGAAACGCCGCGAUGAUUGGUGGUGUACUUGUGGCCUUGUGCCCCGAGCAUCGCGUCGCGGCUUUGGCGUGCCAUGUGUGCUCAAAGGACCCCAAGGAGGAACCCCGUCACCCCGAGUGUCGUUGGGGACCUCCAAACCGUU